UCAACCCUAGCUUCCUCCCAUUUUCUCUCUCCUUCGAUCUUCUUCAUCUUCCUCAAAUCAUCUCCUUCCUCAAUCCUCUCCUCGAUCUUCUUCAUCUUCUGCAACAUGGGUUUUAGGAUUUCUAGGAAAAAAAAUUCAUUGGAGGAGAGAGAUUCAAAUAAGAAACUUUCGUGAUAAAUAAUCAAAUUUAGAGGUUUAGGGAAGGGGAUUCGAUUAUAGAUAAGAAAAAAUUGAAGGUCGAUAAUGGAGGAGAGAGAAAACAAUGGUGGGUGAUGGCUCCUUGGAGGCGGCGGCGAUGGCGGCUCACCUUCAAUUUCAUCCUUUCAGGUUUAAUCUCAAGAUACCGAGGUGAGGUGAGUAAUUUUCUAUUCAAUUUUAUUUUAUUUUAAUUUUGCAGAUUUUGUGAUUUAAAUGUCUUGAUCAAUAAUUAAUUAGCGGAUUACAGUUUUUCUGCAAUUUUUGGUUUGAUUUUUUAUCUGAUUUUAUUUUCUUUCGGGAUCUCUUAAUCUCUGAUUGUGUUUCUUAGAUCUGUGAUUUUUGUUGGAUCAAUAUCUCAUUCUGUUUGUUUCUCGAUUUUGCAGGUGUUUUUUUUUUUUUUUUAAUAAAAAUCGAAGCUUUCUACAAUCUACAAGAUAUCCAGAGCACGAAUUUGGUAUUCUGCAAUUUCUGAUUUUGGAAUUCAUCUUUUCUGCUGAAAAGUGGCGCAAAUUUUGAUUAACCCAACUUCUAGGUAUCAUUUCAGUCUCUUAAAGAAAGGUGUGUUGGGAGUCUGUUGGAUUGCUGCUGGUUUUUUUGCUGAGUGCAGGGGGUUUGUUUAAUAUGGUUUAAAUUGGUAAAUUUAGCCACCUUAUGCCUUUACAGUCCAGUAGUUACAUUGCCAUUGUUGAUGGUGCUUCUUUAAUGUGUUAUCUUUUGUCUUUGAUUUAUUUUGGCGAUGCAAGUGUUUCCAGCCAAGUAGAUUUUGUGCUAUCAAGAUACACAACCUAGAGACUUAGUUAGAUUGUAGUUUGAUUACUAAGAUCGUA